rnacentral:rRNA from 1 species
UACGUAGGUGACAAGCGUUGUCCGGAUUUACUGGGCGUAUAGAGCGCGCAGGCGGUCGAUCAAGUCGAGUGUGAAAGCCCCCGGCUCAACUGGGGAGGGUCAUUCGAUACUGAUCGACUCGAAGGCAGGAGAGGGUAGUGGAAUUCCCGGUGUAGUGGUGAAAUGCGUAGAUAUCGGGAGGAACACCAGUGGCGAAGGCGACUACCUGGCCUGUUCUUGACGCUGAGGCGCGAAAGCUAGGGGAGCAAACGGG